CGAGCCACGGCCAACUGGUUAGUUAUUCCGUGCCGUCCCAACUCACCCGCGGCUCCGUGCCAUCCGUCGCCGCCGGCGCACCGCGAUGGCCGCCUCCGCCCCGGCCGUGAGGCCUCUCGCCCGGGCCGCAAUCCCUAUCCCGCUCUCUGCGCGGCCGCGGACCGCCAGGGUCUCCUUGCUCCCCCUGGCUCCUCUUGCUCCGGCCCAGCGCCUCGCUCUCGGGCGGACCGGGCAAGCGCGGCUGCCAGCGCGCAGCCGGUCGGUGCGGUGCCUGGCGGCGCUGAGCCCAGAGAUGCGGGAGACGCUGGACAAGGUCGUGGGGUCCAGCAAGGUGUUGCUAUUCAUGAAGGGCACCAAGGACUUUCCGCAGUGCGGCUUCUCCCACACCGUCGUGCAGAUCCUGCGCUCGCUCGACGUGCCCUUCGAGACGCUCGACGUGCUCGCUAACGAGGCGCUCCGGCAGGGGCUCAAGGAGUACUCCAGCUGGCCCACCUUCCCGCAGCUCUACAUCGACGGCGAGUUCUUCGGCGGAUGUGACAUCACCGUCGGUAAACUCCUAUAUGUUUUGUCACUUCAUUCACAGAUGCUCGAGCCUGUACGCUUUACUGAGCUCACGAUCUCGUGGUAUUGGGAACUGGCCCAUUUGUUUUGUCUGUCUGCCAUCCUAAUCCACUAACACGACACGUUUGGAGUCUCUCACUAAUAAUAUGAUAGAUUUCACAGAUGAUCGGUACAAGCUCCAUACAUGGUUAGCUAAUUUCAAGCGUAUCACAGUAUGCUUUUGCUGAAGGCAUACUGACAAGCGCAUAUUCUAUCUCACUAACGAUUUGGUUGGAAAACUCUGGUUGCCGGUAUAGACAGGGGUGGAGCCAAAAACAUCUUGAGGAAGGCCGAGAACAUCUAACAAAUGAACUGAUGUCAGAGAUGAGGCAUACAAGAGUGGAGAACUGCAGGAAACUCUAGAGAAAGCAAUGUGUUCGUAGAAAAAAAAUGAACAAUAAGCAGAUGGCAUACAAUUAAUCAAAAUGUUAUAGUAUUUGCUGUACAAUUCAGGCUUGUCAUCAACUGGAGAUGCAAGUUGUGGAUAAUUCAUGUCCAAAUGUUCAGUGCACUUUCGACUGGAAAUACAUCUUUCUGCAGUUUGUGACUAGUCAUCCAGUUUGAACCCCGAUCA